rnacentral:SRP_RNA from 1 species
GCCGGGUGUGGUGGUGCAUGCCUGUAAUUCCAGCUACUCAGGAGGCUGAGGCAGGAGAAUCGCUUGAACCCAGGAGGUAGAGGUUGCAGUGAGCUGAGAUCGUGCCACUGCACUCCAGCCUGGGUGACAGAGUGAGACUCCGUCUCAA